rnacentral:rRNA from 1 species
UACGGGGGGGGCAAGCGUUGUUCGGAAUUACUGGGCGUAAAGGGCUCGUAGGUGGCCAACUAAGUCAGACGUGAAAUCCCUCGGCUUAACCGGGGAACUGCGUCUGAUACUGGAUGGCUUGAGUUCGGGAGAGGGAUGCGGAAUUCCAGGUGUAGCGGUGAAAUGCGUAGAUAUCAGGAGGUACACCUGUGGUGUAGACAGCUUUCUGGACCAUAGCUGACGCUGAGACACGAAAGCGUGGGUAGCAAACAGG